UACGUAGGGUCCGAGCGUUUGUCCGGAAUUACUGGGCGUAAAGAGCUCGUAGGCGGUCUGUCGCGUCUGCUGUGAAAACUCAGGGCUUAACCCUGAGCUUGCAGUGGGUACGGGCAGACUAGAGUGCGGUAGGGGAGACUGGAAUUCCUGGUGUAGCGGUGAAAUGCGCAGAUAUCAGGAGGAACACCGAUGGCGAAGGCAGGUCUCUGGGCAUUAACUGACGCUGAGGAGCGAAAGCAUGGGGGAGCGAACAGG
rnacentral:rRNA from 1 species